UGGGGAAUAUUGCACAAUGGGGGAAACCCUGAUGCAGCGACGCCGCGUGAGCGAAGAAGGUUUUCGAAUCGUAAAGCUCUGUCCUAUGGGAAGAUAAUGACGGUACCAUAGCAGGAAGCCCCGGCUAACUACGUGCCAGCAGCCGCGGUAAUACGUAGGGGGCAAGCGUUGUCCGGAAUCACUGGGCGUAAAGGGUUCGCAGGCGGAAAUGCAAGUCAGUUGUGAAAGGCAGAGGCUCAACCUCUGUAAGCAAUUGAAACUGUAUUUCUUGAGAUGUGGAGAGGCAAGUGGAAUUCCUAGUGUAGCGGUGAAAUGCGUAGAUAUUAGGAAGAAUACCGGUGGCGAAGGCGACUUGCUGGACACAAACUGACGCUGAGGAACGAAAGCGUGGGUAGCAAACAGG
rnacentral:rRNA from 1 species